CGUGCACGCCUCGGCUCAGCUCCGCUCUGGCUCCUGCAUGAUGGGGGCUGCGCUGGGCCCGUGGCUGCUGGCCAUAGCCUUGGCCUUGGGGCUGGCAGGGGUGUGGGCACAGCUCAGGCUGGAGGAGACCGGCGGAGGACUGCGAGCGCCCGGGGACUCCGUGCUCCUCUCCUGCCGCGGAUACGGCUUCAAUUUCGGGACUUACUUCGUUCUGUGGUACCGUCAGGCACCCGGAGGCAGACUCGAGUGGGUGUCCUUCAUCAAUCCCUCUUCGACUUCCACGGAAUACGCAGCCUCCGUGGAAAGUCGAGCCACUGUCUCCCGGGACAUUUCCCGGUCUGAGUCAUCUCUGUUCCUGCGUGCCCUGCAGCCUCAGGACUCUGCUCGCUAUUUGUGCGCCGUCCUCCCUCACACAGAGACAGGAAAAGCAUCUGAGCUUUAACAGAAAGCUUCUGAGCCCGCCCGGGGUG